UAAACAAAACCUGCUGUCUGAAUGGGGGCACUUGCAUCUUGGGGUCCUUCUGUGCCUGCCCCCCAUCCUACUAUGGACGCAACUGUGAACACAACACACACACACAGAAAUGUGGCUCCGUGCCCCAUGGCUCCUGGCUGCCCCGAAAGUGUUUAAUGUGCAAGUGCUGGCUGGGCCAGAUCCACUGCUUCCCCCAGGCCUUCCUCCCUGGAUGUGAGGGCCACGUGAGGGACAACAGCCCGGCUUCCGGUACUCCGGGAUCCGCGCCAUCCAUGGGCUCCGUUCUCCUGCUGGCUGCUGCCUGCCUCCUCCUGGAGGCUCCAGUGGUCUACCUAUGCAGUCCAGGCUGGCCUUGACCUCACUUUGUAGCCCAGGCUGGUCUUGAAUGCACAACGAUCCUUCUGCCUCAGCCUCCUGAAUACAAGUCUGUGUUUGUUGAUAUGUGUAACUUUUUAAAAGAAUUUCUAUUACAAAAAAAAAUUUCCUAUUACUUUCUUUUAAACUAUUAAAU